AAAUGAAGGAGACAGUAUGUUGGAUAAAUCUCGAGUAAAGAACCUAGCAAUUGGUAAAGAUGAGAAUAUAUCGCCUCAAGUAAAAGAAGAUGAAGACAUGGUCUUUUCUCCUGAGAACAAGGGACUCCAGCAUCUUCGGAUUCUGUUCUUGGAGAUGUGUGCAGCUGAACAGAGCGUUGAGGAACGUCAGUGAUUGUAUAACUACUUAUCAUGUUGGGAGAUUGUUGUGAUGAUUGCCUGGACUCUCAGAUGUUACACAGGAUUAUCUGAAUGAAACAUAGCAACUGUAAUUUAAAUCAAGAAAGAUAUUUUGUGUGGAUAUUAGAAGUGUGAAGCUAAUUCUCAAAGGGUGUAUAUUAUCUGAAUCGACACUUAUAAUUCCCUACCCAUUUUACAACACAACAAGUUCUCAUGCCUAGCAGGAUUAUUCUGCUGCAUCAUUGGACUGAAAGUGAAUGGCCCAUAUGUUUCCACUGAUGUGAGCCAUUUGCCUGUUGUGCUUCA
rnacentral:lncRNA from 1 species